GGGGACUUAGCUCAGCUGGGAGAGCGCGGGCUUUGCAAGCCUGAGGUCGUGGGUUCGAACCCCAUAGUCUCCACCA
rnacentral:tRNA from 1 species